UACGGAGGGUGCAAGCGUUAUCCGGAUUCACUGGGUUUAAAGGGUGUGUAGGCGGAUUCUUAAGUCAGUGGUGAAAUCUCCGGGCUCAACCCGGAAACUGCCAUUGAUACUAUUAGUCUUGAAUUCUGUUGAGGUAGGCGGAAUAUAUCAUGUAGCGGUGAAAUGCUUAGAUAUGAUAUAGAACACCGAUUGCGAAGGCAGCUUACUAAACAGAUAUUGACGCUGAGGCACGAAAGCGUGGGGAUCAAACAGG
rnacentral:rRNA from 1 species